UACGAAGGGGGCUAGCGUUGUUCGGAUUUACUGGGCGUAAAGCGCACGUAGGCGGAUCGUUAAGUCGGGGGUGAAAUCCUGGAGCUCAACUCCAGAACUGCCUUCGAUACUGGCGAUCUUGAGUCCGGAAGAGGUGAGUGGAACUCCUAGUGUAGAGGUGAAAUUCGUAGAUAUUGGGAAGAACACCAGUGGCGAAGGCGGCUCACUGGUCCGAUACUGACGCUGAGGUGCGAAAGCGUGGGGAGCAAACAGG
rnacentral:rRNA from 1 species